rnacentral:rRNA from 1 species
ACUUAUUUGACGUUACCUACAGAAGAAGCACCGGCUAACUCCGUGCCAGCAGCCGCGGUAAUACGGAGGGUGCGAGCGUUAAUCGGAAUUACUGGGCGUAAAGCGCAUGCAGGCGGCCUGUUAAGUCAGAUGUGAAAGCCCGGGGCGUUAACCUCGGAAUUGCAUUUGAAACUGGCAGGCUAGAGUCUUGUAGAGGGGGGUAGGAAGUUUCUAGGUGUAGCGGUGAAAUGCGUAGAGAUCUGAAGGAAUACCAGUGGCGAAGGCGGCCCCCUCGGACAAAGACUGACGCUCAGAUGCGAAAGCGUGGGGAGCAAACAGGAUUAGAUACCCUGGUAG